GGCCGUGGCGACGCGAGGAGGCAGAGGCGGAGCCCGAGUUGGGAUGGCUAUAAUUAAAAAGGCAGACAACAAGGAUUUGUGAGGAAGUGAAGUUGGAACCCUGGUACAUCGCUGUUGGGAAUGUGAAAUGGUGCAGCUGCUCUGGAAAACAACAGUUCCUCGAAAUGUUAAACAUAGAGUUACCCUAUGACCAAGCAAUUCCACUCCAGAUUCAAUGCAUUUAUGGAAAAAGAAAAAUUGGAUAGUAAGAUAAUAGUACAGUAUUGUAACAGUGCAAUGGAUUCCUCAGUGGAAAACAACAUGUAUGUAAACAAAGUGUGGGUUCAAUGUGAGAAUGAAAGUUGUUUGAAAUGGAGAUUGUUGUCAAGUGAGGAUGCAGCCAAAGUUGAUCACAAUGAGCCAUGGUACUGCUUCAUGAACACUGAUUCAAGAUAUAAUAAGUGCUCCAUUUCUGAAGAAGACUUUCCUGAAGAGUCUCAGCUUCGUCAAAGUGGGUUUAAGAUUGUCUAUUCACAGCUCCCUCUUGGAAGCCUGGUUUUGGUAAAAUUACAGAAUUGGCCAAGUUGGCCAGGGAUACUUUGCCCUGAUCCUUUUAAAGGGAAAUACGUGACCUAUGAUGUGGAUGGAAAUGUUGAACAGUAUCACAUAGAAUUCCUGGGUGAUCCCCAUUCAAGAUCAUGGAUAAAUGCAACAUUUGUUCAACAUUACAGUAUCACAUUAAAGCCAGGAAUAUGUAAGAAGAAGAAGAAGUGGUAUAAAAGUGCACUACAAGAAGCACACGUCCUCUAUGGAUCCUCACAUGAGCAAAGACUAGAAAUGUGCCACCUGUCAAAAAAGGAUAAAUCCAAAGCAGAUGGCAAAGUUUCUGUGUUGGCCAAGAAAAGGAUGCAAGUUUCCAAAAAUAAAACUGAAAAGAAAAAGCCAAAAUUUAGAAAGAGGGAAAGGAAAGCUAUUUUAAAAUGCUCUUUUGAAAAUGUUUGUUCAGAUGAUGCCUUAUCAAAGGAAAACAUGGAUACUUCCAGACCAGUAGCAUUUGCACCUGUGGCCCUUCCAAGGGACAAAGGUAAGAUUUUGAAAAUCCUAGAAAGAUCCAAAUCCUACCCUAUCGUUUCGUCUCCCUAUAGGGUCCCAAGAGGAGAACUAGACAUAGUACAAUUAAAAAUUUUUAAGUACUUUAGGGCUGAGCCAACUCUUGAUGCCUCUCAAUAGAGUUCUAGAAAAGUUGGUUAGUACAGAUAAAUUUGGUCUUAAGGUCUAAGUAGGACAUUCUCUGUCCACAAAUCUAAAUGUUAGAAUUUUUCCACCCACUGAUUUGUUGCAUAGUAUAAGCACUCAAAGUGGUGAGCAGCAUAAUCAAAUGAAAGGGCAGAGGAGAAAAUAGUUUCCAAGGAAAAUUUUGAAAGAAUGAGUUGUUUGCUUUUCGAUGCAUAUUGGAAAGUACUACAAUAAAGAGAGAUGCUCAAAAACAAAACAAGCAAACAAAUGAAAACACGGAUUGCAAGCAGCUUGGAAUAUGCUAGGUAAGAAAAUAAAACUGUUCCUUAUCUUCAGCCUCUCCGGCCAGAAAGAGAUUCUCAAAUUAGGAUAUGGCCUGGGGACUGAGAUCAAGUCCAGGGCAUGAUUCUUGAAUUAUAACAGAAAAGACAAAGACCAAAUCCAGGUGGUUUGCAGGAAAACAUGGCCUCAGAGUAAAGACCCAAUCAGAGGUGUGGCUGUAACACUGCAAAAUAUUACAAAGUGACUUUUAGUAGAUCUUUCAGCUGGACAAAACCUCCUAUAAAUCUUAAAAGGCAUGGUACUGCAACCACCUGAUGUGCCCAAAGUGCUAGUAAUUACAUCUGGAGAGAGAGGGAUGUCUGGACAAAAAUGUGAUUUUGACACAUGGAAUGAACUGGAAUCAAAUACAUAGAAGACCCACUAAAUUGUAGAGAAAAUGAUAUUGCCAUAGUACUACCAGCCUGAACUAAAAGAGACUGAAAUUGUUUGAGGGGAGAAAAAAGACCUCCAAGCCUCCAAUUUUCUAUAGGCAAGAAACAGCCUGGGGAAACUUCUUAGCCACCAAAAAGAGGUCUAAGUUUCAAUGUCUUCUUCAGAAGCAAAUGAGGAAGAUGAUAGGAAAGGAUAUCUCAGAGGACAGAGCCAGGAGCUGUAGAAAACAAUGGACUGGAGAUCUUCCCUACCACCUCUCCACCCCAGCUUGUUUCCUCUUCCCCUGGGAAUAGAACCCAGGUCUAAUGAAGAAAUAUUUUCUACUCCCAUAGCUGGGGAACUUGGCUAAUUGCCUUGGCUAAUUUCGGAAUUGGCUAAGGACCAAGUUUCCUCCUUUUGAAUGGAGGUGUUUAUUGUGAUUAUCCUGUUUCCAUAUACUACUACAUAUUGUGUGGGUGUGGCGAUGGGAUGGGCCAAUAAUUUGUCUUUUUAGUUCAUAAGUCCAGUUCAUGUCUGGACCUGAUGUAGAUGAUGAAGUCCGAAAUGUUGAGCCUGAUACCAUGAUUGGGUGAGACUUAUGGGUGUCCAUUGAUGGGGAUGGGGAAUGUUUUCAUAUUGGAGGGAUACGAAUAAUGUGGCCAAAGAGGUGGAUAGUAAUUUAUUGAAUUAUUGAUCCAAGUUCUUUGUGUCUUCCUGCAGUGCAUCAUUAUCAUGACCCUAUCAUGGGCAGAAUGUGCUUCCCUGCCUUGUGACUUUGAGCUUGACUUCUUGCUUUGAUCAAUAAAAUAGGGCUGAAGCAAUGGUACCAAUUUUUAGUCAAGGCCUUAAGAGGCUUUGGGUGCUUUUUCUUUUCUUCUUGUACCUCUGCCAUCACCUUCAGAAGAACAUGCCUUACCAAGCCCUCUGAAUCAGGGAGGAUGAAAGACCGUGGAGAAGACCCACACCCACGAAACUGCAGAAUGAAGCAGAGCUGCCCCAGAGAGAAAGGAGAAGGCAGGAGAGAAAUGUGAAUGUGGUCAUGCCCUUCUCUUCUGGAGCUUACAAUCUAGUGAUGGAAGAAUGUAAACAAAUUCUAGCUGGGGAGAGAGACCAGACCUGUGAAGCAAAGCCAGAAUUUGAAGGUGGAAGAGUGGGCUGGCUGGAGAGGAUGAAAGUCCCAGGCUGAACAAAGCACAGAAAUGAGAAAAGCAAGAAGAACAAAUACCUAACCCCAGUAACCAGAGUGCAGGGGGUGGAGGGCGUGAUGGGAAGAAUAUUGUGCAUUAAGGCUGGACCAGACAGGCUGGGCUUUGCUCAAAGAAAGCUUCAUAUAUCACACUAAAGGGGCAGCACCUUCGUUCAGCAGGGGAGCCAGGUUUUGCAGUAGAGAAGAGCAAUGACCACCAGAAUCUCCAAGAUUAAACACCCAAGGGUGCUGGGUGCUGCGACUGGCUUGGAAUCACACCUUUCUGCUAUUUGCAUGCAUGGAGCAGAUGGGUGGGGGCAGUGGGCAGACAUUACUGUGCCAACCUAUGCCCCUGUGUCUGAAGAAAUCCGUGCCCUGAUGUUAGCUCAGAUUGUUAGCUUCCACAGCGAGCGCCUUAGGGUUGCCAGCAGGCAGCCAGGGACUGGAAGGUUAGGUUCUCCACAAGUCUUAUUAAACUUUCGCCUGCCUGGGAAUAAUGCAACACAGCCGCAGAGUUUUAAAUGGCAAAGGGUCUCCAGUUGUCAGAAAGGUUACAGGUAGAUACUUUCAUUUGUCCUCCAUGAAAGCUUAAUAUCCUUUUCUUCUGUUCAAGUCAACUUAUAGGCCUCAUUACUUCAAGUUCAUCGGGCGGCUAGAGCAGACUUUUUGAUUUUACUGUACUCUCAGAAUCAUGUUGGGGAAGAGCUAAUGCAUUUUUAACCAACGUCAGCAAUUUAAAGCUCUUUGGUGCUGUAGCAUAUUAAUACAAUUGUUGGUAACUCUCGGAGAAUGCUGUCUGUGUCAAGAGGGAUUCCCACUAUUGCAAUGUGAGUUCCAGGGGGUAGGGACUACGUGUUCUUCCACUUCGUGACUCUCCCAGACCAUAGCAUAGUGCCUUGCACAUGUUAGAGCAUCAGUUCUAUUUUUAUAUUGAUUUUCAAAUUUCUGCCAAUCUAGCCUGUUCAAAAAUGUUUUCUGACAAGUUUUAUACUUAAACAUUUUUGGUUUGAACCUAAGGUGAUUGUUGCUUUUUUCUUCCAUUUCCCCCAACCCUGACAGCAGACACAUGCUCCAUGGGUUUUCCAUUGCUAUAGUAAUGCAGGGUAUCAGGCAACCCCGAAAUGCCAGUGGCAAACAACAAAGCACAUUUUUUAGUUUGGGAGCCUGCAGCGUUCAGCCUACUUGGUUACUUUCAGCUGAUCUCACUCAUGUGUCUGUGGUCAGCUGCAGGUCUACUUAGGUGUGGUUCUGUUGAUCUUCUAGGCUCAUCCACGUAUCUGGGGACCAGCUAGCAACUGAUGAUCUAGGGCAGUGUCAGGUGGGGAAAUUGGGGCAACUCAGCUCUGUUUUGUGUGCCACCUUUCAUCUUCCAACAGGCUGGCCCAGGCAUGUUCUUGUAGCAAUAGCAGAGGAGCAAAAGCAAGAGUAAGCCUUGUUCUGUCAGUGCAUUCCAAGCCUCUGCUUUCAUCACGUUUGCUAACAUCCUGUUGGCCAAAACAAGUCACACGGCUAAUCCCAGAGCCAGAGUCAGUGAACAUAGAGCUGGGCCUUUAAUGCAAUCCAUCUAUUACACAUGCUUAUUGAAAAAGGAAGAGAAAAUUUCAAUAAGAAAAUGCAAGUCACCUGCAAUCCUACCAACUACAGAUAAAUCAUUGUUGACAUUUAAAAAAAUCCUUGCAGCUUGUUUCCAAGUAAAUACAUACUUUUAAAAGCACAUAUGAAAUGUCAAUCACAUAAUUGUUUUCAGUGCCUUUUUAUUUUAACUAUAUAUUGUGAAUAUAUGUUUAUGCCAUAAAAUAUUGUUCUUCAACAUGAUUUUUAAUGAUUGCUUAGUAUUUCUAUUGCUAUGUAUUUAAAUCCAUACAAUGAAAUACUCUCUUGAUGGACAUUUAAUUUGUUUCCAUGUUUUCACAAUUAUAAACCACUCUGCCAUGAACAUCCUUAUGCCUUCUUUAUAUACAUUCUUUUUUUUCCAAGUCAUUUCCGGAAGAGGAGUUAAUAAGUCAGAGUGUCUGCACAGUUCUAAGGCUUUUUACAUCUACCAUUUAUCUUCCAUCAGAGGUAUAUGAAAGGGUCUUUUUCUCUGUUAGACUGAGGUUUGGUUUGUACUUGAAUUUUAUGUUACUUGUAACAGUGCACUGGGUUAAUCUUUGUCUUAAAGAACAUUGACUAAACAACUAUGAGAUGGUAGUUUUUUCUCCUAAUUCCUUAGAGAGGGAUGAAAAUUAGCAUUAAUGUAGGCUACCGACUUGGGCCUGAAAGCGACUGAGGUAAGAAUAAUAAAUCAGGCAAUGGACAGGGAGAAGAGAAAAUGUUAAAAGAAACACUUGAUUUAGCCACUAAAUGUCCUUUUGGUCACUCACUCUUGUGACAAAUACUAGUGGAGGAUCAUUGGGCUGGAAAACGUUUUGGUGGACUGAUAAAUUUAAAAAUCUAGGAUGUUACAGUCCAAUGUGGGCAAGGGUAGGGAAGUAGAGGUGCUUUAGAGAAUAAGAUCAAUUUCUACGGAUUCUUUUUAUUAAGGUGGUCAUGUGGCUUUCCUUCAUGUAUUAUAAUCAUGAUCAGUGAAUUUUUUGAUGUUAGAAUACUUAGCUGAUUAUUUUCAAAAUCCACCUUUCUUGUACGAAAUUGAAAUUGCUUCUAAUAAGAGCAUGAAGUCUAUUUUAUUUUCCAUCCACAUGUGGGAUUAUUUUGUGUAUUUGUAAUUUCUGUUUUUAGUGCCCAGAGAAAAACUGGCUUUGGGUGAUGGUUCUUGUCUCCUUGCACAAAGUAUUUAAAUUCAUUCAAAAGCAUUAUUGCUCCAAAAUUUUGACCUUAUACAUAAUGGACCAUGAGUACCUCCUUCCCAGGGUCUAGGCUUUAUUGCUAAUCCCUGGACCUAGGACAGCAGGCAAUAUUGUUUAUAAAUAUUUAUUGAAUAAAAAAUUAUUUCAUAAUUAGAUAUUUUCUGAAUAAACUAAUUGAUGGAAUUUAUAUUUUGAAAGUAUCUGGAACAAACACCCUUGCCCAAAUGAGGAUUAAAUUUGCCAUCUAACUUAGCCUUUCCAACUGUGUAAGUCCAAGUUCCCAAAAUUGAUUGAACCUUGAAUGUUUUCACAGUUUAGCACUUAAUUACACAUGGGCAUGUAUGCUUCAUUGCUUCUUUCAUGUGUGUAGUAACCAGUCUCCAAGAUGAUUCUCGCCUUCUGGUAUUCACACUCUCAUGUGGGGUUCACUUGUGUAACCAUUAAGGUAUCACAAACAUGACAGAGCGUGACCUCCAGGGCUAGGUCAUAAAAGACGUCGUGGCUUCCACUUUUCUCUCUUUUGGAUCACUCAUCUGGAAGAAUCCAGCUGCACGUCAUGAGGACACUCCAGCAGCCCUAUAGAGAGUUUCACAUGGUGAGAAACUGAAGCCUCCUGCCAACAACCAGCACUAACUUGAUAGCCAUGUGAGUGAGCUCUUUUGGAAGUGAUCCUCCAGUGCUCGUCAAGCCUCUGGAUGUCAGUAGCCCAGGCCAAUAUCUUGACUGCAAUCUUAUGAGACGCCCUGAGCCAGAACCUCUAGGCUAAGCCACUCCUAGA